AAACCCUUAUAUUUUUAUGUUAUUUUAACAAUUGUAAGUCAACAAAUAACAAUCGCAUUAAUUUCUUUGCAUACAUUCUUAAAUCAAAAAGAAAACAUAAAUUUUUAUUUCGCUUUUUUUAUUUUUUUAUGGUUACUCUGAAAAGCAUGUCAUGUCAUAGAUGUCGGAGUGAUUUAGCAUCUUUUUAGCAUUUAAAGUUUUUUACAGCAUUUGUUAUAUUAAAACAGUUCCAAGGAGUAAAAUGGUGAAAAAGUGUUGCGUUUAUACUUGUCCAAGUGAAUCGUAUGGUGGUUGCAACAUAUCGUUCCACAGGUAAGCUAAUAAUAAACUUUUUCGUAAAUCAAACAAUUUCCCAAAAAAUGAAGAAAUGCGACAUAAAUGGCUCAGCAGUAUACAUGUGAAGCAAAAAAUUACAAAAAAUUCCGUCGUAUGCAGUCGUCACUUCGAACCUUCCUGCUUUGAUACUGCUAAUUCCCGUCAAUUAUUAAAAGCAGACGCUUUUUCAACGAUUUUUCCUGUUGCCAAAGAUAAAAAAAAUUGUAGUUCUCAGUAAUAUAUUGCUACAACAGCCACAAUCAGUCACAUCUGAAGAGAAAACCCUACAUCCUUCCGCCUCUUUAGAAACACCUGUUAUUGCUGGGACAAGUUCAAGCAAUAUAGAAUAACCUCCAAGGAAGAAGCUCUGUCCAAACGUAAAUGAUGUCGGUGUUCAAACAGUACCUGUCAAAUGUAUUAGCCCUGUAGAAGAUGUUUUAAAGAAAAGGGUAAAAGUAUUAUCACAAAAGCUAAAUAGGCGUGACGCAAAAUUGAAAAACUUACAAUCGCUUUUAUUGCUACUCAAGAAAAAGUGUAAAAAUUUUGAUGAGGUGGAACAAAAUAUAAAAAAUAAUUUU